rnacentral:rRNA from 1 species
UUAAGCGACUAAGCGUACACGGUGGAUGCCCUGGCAGUCAGAGGCGAUGAAGGACGUGCUAAUCUGCGAUAAGCGUCGGUAAGGUGAUAUGAACCGUUAUAACCGGCGAUUUCCGAAUGGGGAAACCCAGUGUGUUUCGACACACUAUCAUUAACUGAAUCCAUAGGUUAAUGAGGCGAACCGGGGGAACUGAAACAUCUAAGUACCCCGAGGAAAAGAAAUCAACCGAGAUUCCCCCAGUAGCGGCGAGCGAACGGGGAGCAGCCCAGAGCCUGAAUCAGUGUGUGUGUUAGUGGAAGCGUCUGGAAAGGCGUGCGAUACAGGGUGACAGCCCCGUACACAAAAAUGCACAUGCUGUGAGCUCGAUGAGUAGGGCGGGACACGUGGUAUCCUGUCUGAAUAUGGGGGGACCAUCCUCCAAGGCUAAAUACUCCUGACUGACCGAUAGUGAACCAGUACCGUGAGGGAAAGGCGAAAAGAACCCCGGCGAGGGGAGUGAAAAAGAACCUGAAACCGUGUACGUACAAGCAGUGGGAGCACGCUUAGGCGUGUGACUGCGUACCUUUUGUAUAAUGGGUCAGCGACUUAUAUUCUGUAGCAAGGUUAACCGAAUAGGGGAGCCGAAGGGAAACCGAGUCUUAACUGGGCGUUAAGUUGCAGGGUAUAGACCCGAAACCCGGUGAUCUAGCCAUGGGCAGGUUGAAGGUUGGGUAACACUAACUGGAGGACCGAACCGACUAAUGUUGAAAAAUUAGCGGAUGACUUGUGGCUGGGGGGGAAAGGCCAAUCAAACCGGGAGAUAGCUGGUUCUCCCCGAAAGCUAUUUAGGUAGCGCCUCGUGAAUUCAUCUCCGGGGGUAGAGCACUGUUUCGGCAAGGGGGUCAUCCCGACUUACCAACCCGAUGCAAACUGCGAAUACCGGAGAAUGUUAUCACGGGAGGCACACGGCGGGUGCUAACGUCCGUCGUGAAGAGGGAAACAACCCAGACCGCCAGCUAAGGUCCCAAAGUCAUGGUUAAGUGGGAAACGAUGUGGGAAGGCCCAGACAGCCAGGAUGUUGGCUUAGAAGCAGCCAUCAUUUAAAGAAAGCGUAAUAGCUCACUGGUCGAGUCGGCCUGCGCGGAAGAUGUAACGGGGCUAAACCAUGCACCGAAGCUGCGGCAGCGACGCUGAUGCGUUGUUGGGUAGGGGAGCGUUCUGUAAGCCUGCGAAGGUGUACUGUGAGGCAUGCUGGAGGUAUCAGAAGUGCGAAUGCUGACAUAAGUAACGAUAAAGCGGGUGAAAAGCCCGCUCGCCGGAAGACCAAGGGUUCCUGUCCAACGUUAAUCGGGGCAGGGUGAGUCGACCCCUAAGGCGAGGCCGAAAGGCGUAGUCGAUGGGAAACAGGUUAAUAUUCCUGUACUUGGUGUUACUGCGAAGGGGGGACGGAGAAGGCUAUGUUGGCCGGGCGACGGUUGUCCCGGUUUAAGCGUGUAGGCUGGUUUUCCAGGCAAAUCCGGAAAAUCAAGGCUGAGGCGUGAUGACGAGGCACUACGGUGCUGAAGCAACAAAUGCCCUGCUUCCAGGAAAAGCCUCUAAGCAUCAGGUAACAUCAAAUCGUACCCCAAACCGACACAGGUGGUCAGGUAGAGAAUACCAAGGCGCUUGAGAGAACUCGGGUGAAGGAACUAGGCAAAAUGGUGCCGUAACUUCGGGAGAAGGCACGCUGAUAUGUAGGUGAAGUCCCUUGCGGAUGGAGCUGAAAUCAGUCGAAGAUACCAGCUGGCUGCAACUGUUUAUUAAAAACACAGCACUGUGCAAACACGAAAGUGGACGUAUACGGUGUGACGCCUGCCCGGUGCCGGAAGGUUAAUUGAUGGGGUCAGCGCAAGCGAAGCUCUUGAUCGAAGCCCCGGUAAACGGCGGCCGUAACUAUAACGGUCCUAAGGUAGCGAAAUUCCUUGUCGGGUAAGUUCCGACCUGCACGAAUGGCGUAAUGAUGGCCAGGCUGUCUCCACCCGAGACUCAGUGAAAUUGAACUCGCUGUGAAGAUGCAGUGUACCCGCGGCAAGACGGAAAGACCCCGUGAACCUUUACUAUAGCUUGACACUGAACAUUGAGCCUUGAUGUGUAGGAUAGGUGGGAGGCUUUGAAGUGUGGACGCCAGUCUGCAUGGAGCCGACCUUGAAAUACCACCCUUUAAUGUUUGAUGUUCUAACGUUGACCCGUAAUCCGGGUUGCGGACAGUGUCUGGUGGGUAGUUUGACUGGGGCGGUCUCCUCCUAAAGAGUAACGGAGGAGCACGAAGGUUGGCUAAUCCUGGUCGGACAUCAGGAGGUUAGUGCAAUGGCAUAAGCCAGCUUGACUGCGAGCGUGACGGCGCGAGCAGGUGCGAAAGCAGGUCAUAGUGAUCCGGUGGUUCUGAAUGGAAGGGCCAUCGCUCAACGGAUAAAAGGUACUCCGGGGAUAACAGGCUGAUACCGCCCAAGAGUUCAUAUCGACGGCGGUGUUUGGCACCUCGAUGUCGGCUCAUCACAUCCUGGGGCUGAAGUAGGUCCCAAGGGUAUGGCUGUUCGCCAUUUAAAGUGGUACGCGAGCUGGGUUUAGAACGUCGUGAGACAGUUCGGUCCCUAUCUGCCGUGGGCGCUGGAGAACUGAGGGGGGCUGCUCCUAGUACGAGAGGACCGGAGUGGACGCAUCACUGGUGUUCGGGUUGUCAUGCCAAUGGCACUGCCCGGUAGCUAAAUGCGGAAGAGAUAAGUGCUGAAAGCAUCUAAGCACGAAACUUGCCCCGAGAUGAGUUCUCCCUGACCCUUUAAGGGUCCUGAAGGAACGUUGAAGACGACGACGUUGAUAGGCCGGGUGUGUAAGCGCAGCGAUGCGUUGAGCUAACCGGUACUAAUGAACCGUGAGGCUUAACCUU